ACUCCUACGGGAGGCAGCAGUGGGGAAUAUUGCACAAUGGGCGCAAGCCUGAUGCAGCCAUGCCGCGUGUGUGAAGAAGGCCUUCGGGUUGUAAAGCACUUUCAGUUGUGAGGAAAGGUUAGUCGCUAAUAUCGGCUAGCUGUGACGUUAGCAACAGAAGAAGCACCGGCUAACUCCGUGCCAGCAGCCGCGGUAAUACGGAGGGUGCGAGCGUUAAUCGGAUUUACUGGGCGUAAAGCGUGCGUAGGCGGCCAUUUAAGUCAAAUGUGAAAUCCCCGAGCUUAACUUGGGAAUUGCAUUCGAUACUGGAUGGCUAGAGUAUGGGAGAGGAUGGUAGAAUUCCAGGUGUAGCGGUGAAAUGCGUAGAGAUCUGGAGGAAUACCGAUGGCGAAGGCAGCCAUCUGGCCUAAUACUGACGCUGAGGUACGAAAGCAUGGGGAGCAAACAGGAUUAGAUACCCUGGUAGCGAGUAG
rnacentral:rRNA from 1 species